AUGAACGCUGGCGGCGUGCCUAAUACAUGCAAGUCGAGCGAACAGACGAGGAGCUUGCUCCUCUGACGUUAGCGGCGGACGGGUGAGUAACACGUGGAUAACCUACCUAUAAGACUGGGAUAACUUCGGGAAACCGGAGCUAAUACCGGAUAAUAUAUUGAACCGCAUGGUUCAAUAGUGAAAGACGGUUUUGCUGUCACUUAUAGAUGGAUCCGCGCCGCAUUAGCUAGUUGGUAAGGUAACGGCUUACCAAGGCAACGAUGCGUAGCCGACCUGAGAGGGUGAUCGGCCACAUUGGAACUGAGACACGGUCCAGACUCCUACGGGAGGCAGCAGUAGGGAAUCUUCCGCAAUGGGCGAAAGCUUGACGGAGCAACGCCGCGUGAGUGAUGAAGGUCUUCGGAUCGUAAAACUCUGUUAUUAGGGAAGAACAAAUGUGUAAGUAACUAUGCACGUCUUGACGGUACCUAAUCAGAAAGCCACGGCUAACUACGUG
rnacentral:rRNA from 1 species